rnacentral:rRNA from 1 species
UACGUAGGCAGCGAGCGUUGUUCGGAAUUACUGGGCGUAAAGAGUGUGUAGGCGGUGCUGUAAGUCUGGUGUGAAAUCUCCCGGCUCAACUGGGAGGGUGCGCCGAAUACUGAGAAGCUAGAGUGUGGGAGAGGAAAGUGGAAUUCCUGGUGUAGCGGUGAAAUGCGUAGAUAUCAGGAGGAACACCGGUGGUGUAAACGGCUUUCUGGACCAUAACUGACGCUGAGGCACGAAAGCGUGGGUAGCAAACAGG